CUAAUGUUUUGAUUGGUUGAAAAUGUAGGAUUAUGCCUAGCGAGGUUGGUUCCCUCUUCUCUCGAAUCUUCUCAACAUCAAACUCACCAUUUUCUCUACUACCUUUGCUCCAUCAUCUUCCAUCCAUGUCGAUUUCCACCAAAAUUCCUCAUCCUCUCCUUCAUCACCCUAAUUCACCAUACCCCAAAACCUCAAAAUCCUCUUUUUUAUACUCAACACCCUCUAAAUUAACCUUCUUUAGAUCCAUUACCAUUGAAAGAAUUUCAACAAAAUCUGUUUCUGCAACCCCAGCAGCAGCAGGAGCAGGAGCAGGUGCAGCUUCAGAAUCCUCUUCUUCAUCUCUCCAACCCAUUGAAGAGCUUCCGCCGAAGCUUCAAGAAAUCGUCAAGCUUUUUCAAGCAGUUGAACUACCAAAGGCUAAAUACGAACAACUGUUGUUUUACGGCAAGAAUUUAAAACCACUUGAUACCCAGUACAAGACUAGUGAAAAUAAGGUUCAGGGUUGUGUUUCACAGGUUUGGGUUAGGGCGUAUUUUGAUUCUGAGAAAAAUGUUGUAUUUGAGGCUGAUUCUGAUUCGGUACUUACUAAAGGUCUUGCUGCUUUGUUAGUUCAGGGACUUUCUGGAAGACCUGUAGAAGAGAUUUUAAAAGUUUCCCCUGAUUUUGCUGUACUUUUAGGGUUGCAACAAAGCUUAACUCCUUCUAGGAAUAAUGGGUUUUUGAAUAUGUUGAAGUUAAUGCAGAAAAAAGCACUUCAGUUGUAUGUUGAAGCUGAGAAAGGUGCUAAUUUAGGCCAGAGUGAAAUAUCAAAUGCCUCGUCGACUGAGUCUCACAAUGUUAAUGGUAAUGGAAAUGUUGAGUCUAUAGCCAGUCCUGAAGUUAAUGGAAACAAUGCAACUGUUGGUGCUAGUGAUGAUGGUGUUUUGAGGAGUAGAGGGAUGAGAAUCAAGGAGAAAUUGGAGAAGGAACUUAGGCCUGUUGAACUAGAAGUUGAAGAUAUAUCUUAUCAGCAUGCAGGACACGCGGGGAUUAGAGGUAGUGAUGGAGAAACACACUUUAAUUUAAAAGUGGUGUCUGAGGAAUUUGAAGGCAAGAGUUUGGUUAAGAGGCAUAGGAUGAUUUAUGGUUUACUGCAAGAUGAGUUGCAGAAUGGACUACACGCAUUGUCAAUUGUGGCCAAGACACCGUCUGAAGUUGGUAGUAGUUGAAUUGCUGGCGUCAAGAGAGAAUCAUGAAGCACAAUGCAUCAUAGGCUGAUAGUACAUUUUUUGGAUGCCUCAGCCUCCUCCAGGCUUUGUUUCCGUGGGUUGUAUAACCUGCAAAGGAGUACCAAAUGAAUCUAAUUUUGGUUCCUUAAGAUGCACCCGCAGUGAUAUGGUUGCUGGUGGUCAGUUUUCGGAACAAAGCAUUUGGGAUAUAUAUGAUGCCAAAUUCACGAAGAAUCCCUUUAGUUUAUGGGUUAUUGGAGAUGAGUUAGGACAUUUCAUUGUUCGCAGUGGCUUCAAGAAGCCUCCAAAGAGGCUUGCGUUGAAGCUUGCUGAUCGAGAUAUGGCUAGUGGUCUAGAUGAUAUGGUGGUUGACGCAGAAAUCAGGACAUUCUCCGCAGCCCUUUUUGAUGAUUAUGGCAGUUUGAUGGUUCUGUAACGUGUCUUUCAGAGACAUAACUUUCAAUUUACAUCAAAGGUCUAACUAUCUGAGUUCCAGUGUGACCUUUUCCUUGGCUGCUAGAUCAUACAAUGAUAGAAAUGCAAGAGAAUACAAUAAACCCCUAUCCUCUACUGGAUGUCAAUGUCAGGGCUCAACAACGAUGAAGAGGCAGCUCCUAACUUGUGGUAUCGUCGUGGGUAGCACUUAUGCUCAGACUCUAGGAAAGAAGACAACAAACUGAAAGGAUGAGUACACAAAGUACUCAGUAGGUAUCAUCGGCCUCCCUCCAUACUAGUCUUUGAGAAAACAUGUAUUGAAAUCAUAUAUCAUAAGUUAUACUAUGAUUUGGCAAGAUAUCAUGUUCAUGCUUUGUACUCGUUCAUCAUGUCAUUUCAACAUAGCUUUUGUUAUAAGAUACUCCUAUUUGAAUGGUU